CCUACGGGUGGCAGCAGUGAGGAAUAUUGGUCAAUGGACGAGAGUCUGAACCAGCCAAGUAGCGUGAAGGAUGACUGCCCUAUGGGUUGUAAACUUCUUUUAUAUGGGAAUAAAACGUUCCACGUGUGGGAUUUUGUAUGUACCAUAUGAAUAAGGAUCGGCUAACUCCGUGCCAGCAGCCGCGGUAAUACGGAGGAUCCGAGCGUUAUCCGGAUUUAUUGGGUUUAAAGGGAGCGUAGGUGGAUUGUUAAGUCAAUUGUGAAAGUUUGCGGCUCAACCGUAAAAUUGCAGUUGAAACUGGCAGUCUUGAGUACAGUAGAGGUGGGCGGAAUUCGUGGUGUAGCGGUGAAAUGCUUAGAUAUCACGAAGAACUCCGAUUGCGAAGGCAGUUCACUGGACUGCAACUGACACUGAGGCUCGAAAGUGUGGGUAUCAAACAGGAUUAGAUACCCUUGUAGUC
rnacentral:rRNA from 1 species